rnacentral:rRNA from 1 species
UACGUAGGGGGGCAAGCGUUGUCCGGAAUUAUUGGGCGUAAAAGAGCUUGUAGGCGGUCUGUCGCGUCUGCUGUGAAAACCCGAGGCUCAACCUCGGGCCUGCAGUGGGGUACGGGCAGACUAGAGUGCGGUAGGGGGAGAUUGGAAUUCCUGGUGUAGCGGUGGAAUGCGCAGAUAUCAGGAGGAACACCAAUGGCGAAGGCAGAUCUCUGGGCCGUAACUGACGCUGAGGAGCGAAAGCAUGGGGAGCGAACAGG